AGGGACUAAACUUUUGCACAUUACCCAGAGACUUUGACAGAGCUUGAAUGAAAACUGGCAUCAAAAGAUUUGAAAGAUGAUGCUGACUGACAAUGCUUCUCAAAAAAAAGUUAGACACCCAACAUUAACAGAAGUUCUGUUCCAGAAAACUUCCUUCCUUUUUAAUAUAAUAUAAAUAAUCAACUUCACCAGUCUGUGACAAUUUUUCAAAAGAAAGACCAACACUGAGAAAAUCCCAGAUGAAGAUGGUCCUUAUUAUUAUGAAACCCGCUGAUAAAGGAGGAGCAGUUAUAUUAAAAACUACUGGUUGCAUUUCUAAAGGCCUACACAUCAAAACCUGCACAUCUCAUGUCAAAGACAUCACAGCAAAUCUCAACAUGUGUCACAAACAUCCUACUGUAUUUUAAAUAUUGACAUGAAUACAGUUGAUUAACUAAUUAGCUCCAAAGUGUCUCCUAGACUGAAUUCACAUAAGACUUGUAUUCACAAUGCACAGUAUCCUGCCCUGGUUUGAUCCUGUUAAUAAUAACAACAGCUUUUUUAUUUCUUGCCCGCCUCUCAUCGAUUUUAAUUCACACUAAAUUUCUACCAUGUUCAUGUGUUUGGUCUGUUGGAUUAUUUUAGGUCACACGACUGCAGUGGCUUCUUUCCUUCUUGGCAUGCAUGUGGAUAUAAGCAUAUUUGCAUAACCACAUUAAAGAUUAAAUUCCCAUUGAGUUUAAUGAAAUAUAACUUCCCCCUCCUCCAGUGAACAAAGAAAUUCAUACCUUUGGAUAUUCACAUACAAACCAUCAUCAUCAUAGGCUAUCAGUUGUGGCCAAGUAUUAUAACCUUCCAAGUGUAGGGUCUUGGCGGUGGGUCCGUAGGUGAUUAUAGAGAUCUAUUAUUGAUCCACAUGUUCUUUUGCAGUGAAGAUAUCAGAUUCCAGAUGAAAGGUGGUCCUGACAUGGGUUGGCUUGAUGUAACAUGUUUCUAUUUUUCGUCUUCCAUUUGUGCCUCUUCGAAUUCCAUAGCUCUGUUGGUAACAUUUGACCUCCAGUGAGAAUGCUUGAUGGCCAGGGCUUUCCACUUCUCGGUGUCUAAGCCACAGUUUUUAAGGUUAGCUUUAAGCCCAUCUUUAAAUCUCUUUUCCUGUCCACCAGCAUUCAAUUUUCCAUUCUUGAAUUGAGAGUAUAGAAACUGUUUUGGGAGGCGGUGAUCGGGCAUUCAGACAAUGCAGCUAGUCCAGUGAAGUCGAUGGUGGAGAAUCAUCAUUUCAAUGCUGGUGGUCUUGCUUCUUCUAGAAUUCUGGCAUUUGUCCACCUGUUUUCCUAAGAGAUUUGCAGGAUUUUUUAUUUUUCUUCCAAGAAAAAUAAAACUUCCAAACCAUGAACAUUAAAAAAACGAGGGGGAAAACACCGUGCUUACAGAACAGGGAUGCCAAAAUAAGCAGCCAUCAACUUGUCCCAUCCUUCAACUGCCCUCACUCCCAUAUUCUGAUUUAGGAUGCAAGACACACUUGUAAAAAAAUUAAAAUAAACCCUGCAGAAUAAAAUAGUUUGUUUUUGUAAUUGCAUUAAAGUUGUCAGGCAGCUAAUAAAAAUGCUUUAACUUUGAAACCUGAGGAACACUGCAUGUUCAACCAUUUAUUUUACAUGUUAACCAAAAUUCAGAAACUUGGCAAUCCGGGGCCCCUUUCUUUCUGGCAACAAUAUAGUCACAGAAAGUACCUCACUACAUAUUUAACUACAGACUCUGGAACAAAAUCUUCCAGUGGUUUAAAUCUUAAAGUUACUAAUGAAUUUAAAAUAAACAUAGACUCCUCAAAAAGCAACACUGAUACUAAGUCCCUAACACUUGAUGUUGCAUCACUUUAUAUCAAUAUAAUAUUGGUAUUCAAGUACUUCCUGAAUUUCUAAACUUCAAAACUAACAUAAUACCCUAUGCAGAACAUAUUACUAUCAUUGAUCCUCAUAUGCAAAACAUUACUUUUAAUAAAAACAUCAUUCAAAGAAAAAGCUCACACAUAGCUCCAUCAUAUACUUAUUUAUUUAUAGUAAACUAGAACAACCUACCUUCAGAUAAUCCACAUCUAAACUGCUUGUUUAUUGGAGAUACAUUGUUGACAUAUUCAUGAUAAGGUAAAGGUAAAGGUUUUUCCCUGACAUUAAGUCUAGUUGUGUCUGACUCUGGGGGUUGAUGCUCAUCUCCAUUUCUAAGCUGAGGAGCCAGCGUUGUCCGUAGACACCUCCAAGGUCAUGUGGCCAGCAUGACUGCUGGAGCGCUGUUAGCUUCCCACCUGAGUGGUACCGAUUGUUCUACUCACAUUUGCAUGUUUUUGAACUACUAGGUUGGCAGAAGCUGGGGCUAACUGUGGGAACUCACCCUGCUCCCCAGAUUCUAACCGCAGACCUUUUGGUCAGCAAGGUCAGCGGUCCACAGUUUAACCUGCUGCACCAUCGGUACAUAGAAAUUCUAUUCCUUUAGAUUUCCCUUUACUACAGCUAGCCUCUCUCCCCGCCCCAGUUUAAAUUUAUUGAAACUACAUCAUAGAUAUCAUCUUACUACAGUUUGCAUCAAUCUUGCAAAUGUAACUAUUUUACAUGUGUAAUCCCUAUAAUGUCUGUUUUUUUAAUCCUACAGACGACAAUUGUAUCUUAGACUCCUUGUGAAGCAGUUCAACACAACUAUAUAGAUAUAACACUCAUAAACCAUGUGCUAACUGGUGGGAAAAGUACUCCAAAAAUUACACUUUUGAAUCCUGGAUAAAUGUGAUGCUCCAACUAUAAAAACAUUACCUUUGGAGAGGAUGAAAAGUUUCUAUAUAACCAAUGAGAAUAAUCUCUGCACUUUUAAACAAAACCAAAAACCUUGUCAUCUGAAACAGAAUAUUCAGAGCAUGAGGUUGUAUCUCCUGAGUGGCAUGUUUAAUCACAAAGAAAGAUGCAAAGAAAUCCCCAAUGAAUUAAUCUUUACCAAAAACCUUGACUAAAACAAGUCCAUUGCCCCAUCAUAGCCCACGGCAAUACCUUUUCAAGUUAUAUAUAACCACUGUGUGGAGAAAAUUCAAAUUUUAUUUUAAACCUGCUACUUCAAAUGCAUUUAAUUGCCUCCCCAAAUGUCCUGUUAGCAUACAGAUUUCAGGAUGCAGAAUAUAUAAAUGAUACUGGUGCUAUACAAUCAGAAUAAUUACAGAAAGCCAUGCACAAAUAUUAUUGAGGUGUUCUUGUGAAACUAAAGAUGCAUAUUUAAAAAGCUGCUUUAAGUCUCCUGCAGGAGAGAUAAAGUUGGGUAUAAUUAAAUAUAAAUAUAGUAAAAUAUAUAAAAACAAAACAAACAAAAUACAACACUGAAUUGCAGUAACAUCAGCCUAGCUCAGAACAGGUUACAGUUUAUUAUGGGGUUUUUAAAACAGCCAUAUAAUACUUUAAUCCCCUCAAACCAGAGUAAUCCCUAUACUCCAUCUAUUUCUAUUUCCUAGGAACAGAUCUUAUUUUAUAGUACUGAAAAAUACAAUCCCUAUUUGUCCCUUUGGAUAGGUAGGAACAUAGAGCCCAGCUGAAUUUAUUGGGGCUCCUCUAAAUCUGCAGUAUAAACCUUCCCCAGAGCAGUCCUAGAUACAGCAAGGGCUGGGCUCUAGCACAGCUGGUGUAUCACCAGCAAUAAUAAGAUCUACCAACCAAAAAGUGGCCAGUUCAAAGCCCAGUUGGGGUGAGCACUCGACCAUCAAGCCCAGCUCACUGUUUACCUAAGCAUUUUUCUAACAGUUUAGAGCUGUAAGUAGAGAAAUUCGGAGGAAGUAUUUUACAACACCAUAAAGAACAAGACCAGAAAUGUGAUUACCAAAAAAGGAAAGUGGAAGUAGGUGGCUUCUCAUCGUAGAGAAUGGAGGAACAGCACCCUCCUGUGACUGAAUCCGAACUCAACCUCCAAGGCAUCAAAACUGGACUUUGAGACAACAUACCUCCUUUCUGUCUGUUUUGUUCUGUCCUGUCUGUCCAAAAUGGCAUUGAAUGUUUGCUGUGUAUGUGUACUGUGAUCCACCCUGAGUCCCCUUGGGGAGAUAGGGCAGAAUAUAAAUCAAGUGUUAUCAUGUUAUUAUAAGUGUAUGCUGAAUCCAUGACCAAUGUCCAAAAGCCCAGGACCACAUCCACCCAGGUGGACUGUCACCUUCUCCAUGCCAUUGCUGCCUCUGUAGGAUGUCCUGUCCCAAAACUAGAUUUUGAAGCAACAGCUCUACUCUGAUAAGUCACGUGCCAAAAGCAACUAAUAAGAUGCCUAUUACUUCUAAUCCCCGGUGGUGCAAUGGGUUAAAUUCUUGUGCUGGCAAGACUGCUGACUUGAAGGUUGGGUUGCUGACCUGAAGGUUGCCAGUUCAAAUCUGGGGAGAGCAUGGAUGAGCUCCCUCUGUCAGCUCCAGCUCCAUGCGGGGAAGCCUCUCACAAGAAUGGUAAAACAUCAAAUAUCUGGGCAUCCCCUGGGCAACAUCCUUGCAGACAGCCAAUUCUCUCACACCAGAAGUGACUUGCAGUUUCUCAAGUCGGUCCCGACAUGAAAAACAAACCCUAGAAAAUUCCAUUUAUAAUUAUAUCUAAUCAUUAUAAGACAUAUUUUCCAGGAAUGUGAUUGUGUUUGGGGUAUAUUUUUGGGAGGUAAUGUGAUAAUGUCAUUUCCUGACACUUACCCUGGAGUAGUCCUAUAUCCACUAAUUUGAAAGUAAACCCAUUGAACUCAGCGGGUUAUGCCUUUGAGCAGACAUGUAUAGUUGAGUAGGCAUGUACAGAUGCAUUAUAGUCUUCUCUCUCUGUCUUUUUAAAGCAAAACGCUGCCCAGUUUCAAAAGCUAUUGAAGGACAAGAUAUUCUCUAGUGACUGAAGAGAUGUAAGACACAGCAAGUGCAAAGGAGCCUUCAGGAAUGGACAACGGUGAAGAGAAUAUUAUGAAGACAGCUGGAGGGACAGAAAGUGAUAAUAUUUCUGGGAACAGCAGUGAUAUCAGAUUAGAAAUGCUUCCAAACAAACAGAAGAGACCAGCACAUUGGCAAUAGAAGUGACCUAGUUUCUUUGCUGACUGCUGAUCCAGCAGCCACUUCGGCAGUUGUAAUGAGAAAAAAAUCAUAGAUUCUAAAUCCUUAACAACUGAGUUGAAUCAGAAUGUAUUUUUUCAGGACAUAAAACUGCUUGAAGCAUAACCAUCUUCUCUUUUAGUCGUAUGAAUGGCCAUUGCUAACAAUGACAAGAAGAGAGGGUCUUACAGAAAUUAUGAAAGGAAACUUACAAUAAAAAAUAAGCAUGCAACUCUAAAGCAAACAAAAGAACGCAAACAGAAAAGAGACUAACAAAAAUUGUGGGCUCAGGUGCAUGUCUGCUCUGCAAUAAACACCAUGCAUAAUAAACACCACAUACAUUUCUUUGGGGGCAGGUAAGCCACAACUUUAUUAGUUACAGCUGUAAAUAUGUUUGGUAUCUGCAUGGGCCCAGACCUGAGAACUACACAACCUGCUUGGUGAUCUAUGAGCUUGAUGCUCCAGCCCACUGCUGAAGCCCUUAGGGAUGAAAGAAGAGGAAGGACAUGGGCUGCUGCCACCCUGUGUGGUCCUCCUGCAACCAGGAGGUGAUGUAAACAGCUUCAGACUGGUGCUGAGCAAUAUCUCUUCCAUCCCAGACUCUGAGUCAUCCUGGUGGGGAGCUAUUAACUAAUAUCUGUAAUAUGAUGGAAGCAUAUCUCCCAGAGUUGUUGUGUGUGUUUUGGGCUGUAUGGCCAUGUUCCAGAAGUAUACUUCUGGAACAUGGCCAUACAGCCCGAAAAACACACAACAACCCUAUGAUUCUGGCCAUGAAAGCCUUCGGCAACACAUAUCUCCCGGAACCAGGACUCAUGCCAAACCAAUCUACAAAGUAUGUCAAAAGGAAAUAGCCCAAUGGCUAUAUGCCCACAAAAGCUUUGAUCACAUUGUUUGAACCCUAAUUAGAGUGUGGGAGGGUAGGACGAUACUGAAGUAGUAUGUUCCAAAGAUCGAACAGGCUUCCUAUUUUAUACUCAAAUGUCUGACAAAAGUGGAAACAACAUUAGUUAGCUCUGCCCCUUCCCUCCAAAGUGCUACAUGGUUCUGUGAAAGCACCUGGGAGUUGGGUCUGUCUUGUUCAGCAAGUGCAUAGUGGAGAUGCUGGAAAUGCACCAACUCACAACUUUGCUUCAUUGUAAGUCAUGCAGCCAUUUUACCAAAUAAAACCACAAUAAAAUGGUUGAGGAAGAUUCCCAAGCUGUAGAAAUUAAUUAAAGAAAAAAACAAAUCAUGUGAUGGAGAUCCACUUUUAUUUGGCUCUUAGUUGCUAAAUCUGCAUGCUUUUAGAAAUUAUUUCAUGUGGUACAACAUUCUUUUUUGUUUAAGUUAGACACAAUGUGUAGAGCAGUGGCAGUUCAUUGAACAAGAAGGGUAUGUACUGUUUUGUGCCUUUAAGCCAUUUCUAAUUCAUAGUGACCCUACACAACCUUAUCAUGGGGUUCUCUUGCCAGAAUUUUUUUUAGCGGGGAUUGCCUUGUUACAGUUUUUGUGUUAUGUAGUGAAAUGUUUAAUUCAUUGUUGCUAUGUAAGUGUGUGUAUUCGUAAGCAUUUUAGUAGCUAAGUGGUUAAUUGCAGAGAGCCCUGAUUUAUUGCUAGAAGGGCAAAGCAUCAAGACUUCAGUUUGUGCUACAUAGCAGGAAGAUAUGUCAUAGACUAUGGAAUGUGGGUUGUGGCUUUGGUUCGCUGAUAAGAGCAACAGAAAGAUUCCAUUAAUCGCUCUGCUGUAGCAACAUGUGUCCGAGCAACUCUGGCUGUUUACUUUGUAAAUACUUGUAAAAUAAAGAUUUAUAGCCGCCGGGAUCCUCAGAUAA